rnacentral:rRNA from 1 species
CCCGCUCAGAAACUUAAAGGAAUUGACGGGGGCCCGCACAAGCGGUGGAGCAUGUGGUUUAAUUCGAUGCAACGCGAAGAACCUUACCUACCCUUGACAUCCAGAGAAUCUGUGAGAGAUCGUAGAGUGCCUUCGGGAGCUCUGAGACAGGUGCUGCAUGGCUGUCGUCAGCUCGUGUCGUGAGAUGUUGGGUUAAGUCCCGUAACGAGCGCAACCCUUAUCCUUAGUUGCCAACAGGUCAAGCUGGGAACUCUAGGGAGACUGCCGGUGAUAAACCGGAGGAAGGCGGGGACGACGUCAAGUCAUCAUGGCCCUUAUGGGUAGGGCUACACACGUGCUACAAUGGCCGGUACAGAGGGCAGCGAACUUGCGAGAGUAAGCAAAUCCCAGAAAGCCGGUCCUAGUCCGGAUUGCAGUCUGCAACUCGACUGCAUGAAGUCGGAAUCGCUAGUAAUCGCGAAUCAGAAUGUCGCGGUGAAUACGUUCCCGGGCCUU